rnacentral:lncRNA from 1 species
AUUAAAUUAAAUUAAAUUUCAAAUAACAAAUUUUUUAUUAAAUAGAAAAAAAUUCCUUAAUUUGGAGGGAGUCUACAGCCCCUUCAGUGCACCCCUUACGGACGCCCCUGUUUUUGCUAGUGAACACGUUCUAACUUAACAAAACUUUUCUCCGACAAUAAACAUAAAAAAAAACCAAAAAUCUGUUGGUAGUAAGCCAAUUCUGGAGUUAUUAUUAAUCAACUGUUUAGAGUUGUUCACUGCUUAAAAGAAGGUCAAUCUAAUUCAACCAAAUCACCAUUCAGAAGAUUGUGUUCAUCAUUUUUGGGGCUAAGCCUCCCUCCCAAAAAACCAAAGGUAGCAACGCCCCUGGUUACAAAUAUGAUGUAUGCACGUUAUUUAACUUCAUAUAACGUCAUUUUAACGAAUUUCUAAAUUUUGAAAUAAAUAGGACGUCAUCAACGAUUCAUCGUUGGAAUUGGCAUAUACUGAAUUUUAAAUGAGACCAUUCCAGAUCGAAUCUUCCUUUGAUACGAAUCCUUACCAUACUUCUUCAAAUUAGUUGGGUCCACUAAAAAUUCAUAAGGAUCUUCGACCGGUCUAAGAUCUUCAGACUGAAGACCAACACUAGUAGACACACACAAUAUUAAUAUUAAUAAGAAUAAGUGGAGUGGAGGUGAACGUCGUAACAACAGGAGUACAGAGGAGUUCAGCUAAGGUAACAACAACGCUCAAGCGCGUCGGCUGGAGCAGACAUUCAGGGAACGCUGUAUCUUCUAUAUACAAUAUAAAUAUACAUAGAGUAUUAAUAAAAAAAGUAGGAAAUUCGUUAGACUUCGUUAUUUUCAUAGUAGAUGAUG